rnacentral:rRNA from 1 species
CUACGGGAGGCAGCAGUGGGGAAUAUUGCACAAUGGGCGCAAGCCUGAUGCAGCGACGCCGCGUGGGGGAUGACGGCCUUCGGGUUGUAAACCUCUUUCAAUAGGGACGAAGCGCAAGUGACGGUACCUAUAGAAGAAGCACCGGCCAACUACGUGCCAGCAGCCGCGGUAAUACGUAGGGUGCGAGCGUUGUCCGGAAUUACUGGGCGUAAAGGGCUUGUAGGUGGUUUGUCGCGUUGUUCGUGAAAUGCCACAGCUUAACUGUGGGCGUGCGGGCGAUACGGGCAGACUGGAGUACUGCAGGGGAGACUGGAAUUCCUGGUGUAGCGGUGGAAUGCGCAGAUAUCAGGAGGAACACCGGUGGCGAAGGCGGGUCUCUGGGCAGUAACUGACGCUGAGGAGCGAAAGCGUGGGGAGCGAACAGGAUUAGAUACCCUGGUAGA